rnacentral:rRNA from 1 species
CCCUUAGAUGUUCUGGGCCGCACGCGUGCUACACUGAGUGGAUCAGCGGGUCAGGUUGCGCGAAAGUGUUUCCUAAUCUUUAAAUCCGCUCGUGAUGGGGAUUGACGGUUGCAAUUUUCCGUCAUGAACGAGGAAUACCUUGUAAGCGCGGGUCAUCAUCCCGCGCUGAAUACGUCCCUGCCCUUUGUACACACCGCCCGUCGCUCCUACCGAUUGAGUGGUCUGGUGAGGCUUUGGGAUCUGAGCGGAAAGAGCGUUUCGCUGUUUCUGCCCGGAAAACUCAGUCGAACCUUAUCAUUUAGAGGAAGGAGAAGUCGUAACA